rnacentral:lncRNA from 1 species
GAAGUACUCCAACAAAGGGAUCGUCGUCAGGCAGUGCAUCUCAAACUGUCAGCCUCAAGAGGGAGAAACGGAGGUUCAAUGUUGCCAGGAGGAUGGCUGCAACGGAAGUCAACCAGUGACUCUCGCCAUAGCAACAGUUACUAUGACGAUUACUUGUAUCAUGCUUUUGUCGAUCUUGUACUAAGCAGGACUACUGAAAGUGACCGCAGCAUCAAGCCCGGACCCGUUCAUACCACCAACCGAAGUAUACCAUUCACAAAACGAUCCUUACAAACAAAAACUUCAUCUAGUCAAGAUAUUGGAUUAUUACUAAAAAAAUCCGGAAAUAUUUCUUCUUUUUUGUUCCUAAUUUUGUUCGACAAGUACGUAUACGUAUAUAAGCUGUAUUUAUUUUGUUGUUGAUGUUCUUGCUAGAAUCUUAUCCAUUACUGUAGAAUAGGUAACAUUAGUUGUAUAGUCCAGAAGAUUUUCAGUAACAGAAUUUAUUUUGGCGUUAAGAACUGGAAUCCGUUAGGACUAAACUCGCUGCUGUGCUGGUUCUAACGGUGGGUGAGGUGUUGGAACAGUAAAAUAAAUCUGGUAAACUUGCAGCUAAAAGACGAUGCUUUCCGGAUAUAUAAUUGUGUGUCGUAGCUUUACGAAGCAGAAAUUACAAUACAGCUGUAGAUUUGAUUCUGUGUAUAUAAAUGUUUUUUUAAAAUUAUUUUACUUAGUAUUCGCUUGCCGUUUUUAUCGCCAGAGGGCAGUCAGUCUUGUUUUUCCAGUCCCCCGUCUUUCAAUAGAUUUAAUAUUUAAAAAAAAACGACUUGGCCAACCUUACGUGCACCCAGUAGUUAAUGGAAAUAAUAUUAUCUGUACUUGGAUAAAUGUAGUUUUAAUUACAUAAGUAACUAAAUCUACAAAAACUGUGAUUUUAUACAUUUAGUCCGAAAUUUCAUAUCGUUAAGUCGGGCCCCCUAGUGGCCCAACCUUAAGCUUCAGGGCUUAUAACGCUGAAAGCAAGGAAUGUCAAUCCUAGUAUCGAGCACAACUUAGGUGGACCCAGGCUCUUAACAACAGACAUUAGAUCCAUUUUAAUAUAUACAUAACAAGUUUGUUUUCGACAUGCACUGAAGUCAAUUUGCACUUUACACAUUAAUUAUUGGAAUAUCAAAAGUUUCGUUUCAUCACAAAAAAAAGGCCAGCGAACUCGUAUUUUCACAGUGGCACAGCGGUAUGUCUGCGGACUUACAACGCUAGAAACCGGGUUUCGAUACCCGUGGUGGGCAGAGCACAGAUAGCCCAUUGUGUAGCUUUGUGCUUAAUUACAAACAAAUACCUUUUAUUUUCAACUGUGAGAAAAUUUAAUUUUCAUGUUCUAUAACAUUCGAAAAUAACCAAUUUAUAUGAAAAAUAAAUACUCAACAAUAAGAAAACGGAAAAGAACAAUAAUUAGUAUUUUUUUUUAAAUAUUUGAAGUGGUAAAACCUAAAAAACCCCAGUUAUUUUCAAGGUUCACGUCAAGCAACUACUGUAAACAGAAACCACUAAAGAUUUUUAAUAAUUACUCGCAACACACGGUUGCGCUUCAACGUAAUAAACAAGCCCCCAGUGGCACGGCGGUAUGUCUGCGGACUUACAACGCUAGAAUCCGGGUUUCGAUACCCGUGGUGGGCAGAGCACAGAUAGCUCAUUGUGUAGCUUUGUGCUUAAUUACAAACAAACAAACAAAAACAUCAACGUAAAAUGUACAUAUGAAUAAAAUCAGAAAUAGAAACUUGAACAGUGAAAAAACAGGAGUGUAGAAGUUGGGGGAGAAGAGGGGGACUUAUUAGACCAAGGGAAAGUGUACCAUAAGCGCACCCAUUAGGGCCGGGGUUCAGGGCUCGUCUUAGGACCCCUGGUAGCUCUUGAGCUCUGGAUUAAAUUUUAUGCAUUGUCCUGCUUUUCCUAACUGUGAUGCAUUUAUAUUACGCUUCUUACGCCAUUAAGGAACAAAGGUAACUUGAGAGCGUCAGCUCCGGAGCUUCGAUAUGAAACCUAAACAAUUUUCUCUAUUUGAAAACCAAGUUUUUGUUUAAUUUUGUUGUAUACAGACGUGAAUAAUGUAAAACAUUUAACUAACAUUGUAUUUCAAGACAUUUUUGACAAAUGAAAAAGUAACUAUUAUUAGAAUAUCGUUAUAAGAGAAACCCGAAUGUCUAUUUUGAUACGUUGUCUAAAAUAAUAGUUGUUAUGGAAACGAUUUGAUAGGAGAACUGUUAAAUGUAUAUACCACAUAUUACGUCGUAAUCAGUUAAUUUAAAUUAAACCAAGUGUUUAUGUCUAGCCAGGUAUGAAUAAAUUUAAAGCAUUUACAUUUGGACUUCUUUGAUUUUCAAUAGAAAUCGUUAAUAUACUAUGUAUUAUCUCUCGAGUUUUAUAAGUGUUGUUCAAAUGUCACGUGGUUUGAUAGAGAUGAUGUAGCUGCUGGUUGAAACUGACUCUAAGUGAGGGUACACGUGUUGUGUUACUACACGUGUUCUGUUUGGAUUUUGUGAAAUUGGAUCACUGUAUCUGCAGCUUUUUACUAAUACUGUAAUCGUAAUAAAAACGCUGCUUCUUAAACAA